rnacentral:rRNA from 1 species
CAGGCUUAACACAUGCAAGUCGAGGGGCAGCAUGGUCUUAUCUUGCUAAGGCCGAUGGCGACCGGCGCACGGGUGAGUAACACGUAUCCAACCUGCCGUCUACUCUUGGACAGCCUUCUGAAAGGAAGAUUAAUACAAGAUGGCAUCAUGAGUCCACAUGUUCACAUGAUUAAAGGUAUUCCGGUAGACGAUGGGGAUGCGUUCCAUUAGAUAGUAGGCGGGGUAACGGCCCACCUAGUCUUCGAUGGAUAGGGGUUCUGAGAGGAAGGUCCCCCACAUUGGAACUGAGACACGGUCCAAACUCCUACGGGAGGCAGCAGUGAGGAAUAUUGGUCAAUGGGCGAGAGCCUGAACCAGCCAAGUAGCGUGAAGGAUGACUGCCCUAUGGGUUGUAAACUUCUUUUAUAAAGGAAUAAAGUCGGGUAUGCAUACCCGUUUGCAUGUACUUUAUGAAUAAGGAUCGGCUAACUCCGUGCCAGCAGCCGCGGUAAUACGGAGGAUCCGAGCGUUAUCCGGAUUUAUUGGGUUUAAAGGGAGCGUAGAUGGAUGUUUAAGUCAGUUGUGAAAGUUUGCGGCUCAACCGUAAAAUUGCAGUUGAUACUGGAUAUCUUGAGUGCAGUUGAGGCAGGCGGAAUUCGUGGUGUAGCGGUGAAAUGCUUAGAUAUCACGAAGAACUCCGAUUGCGAAGGCAGCCUGCUAAGCUGCAACUGACAUUGAGGCUCGAAAGUGUGGGUAUCAAACAGGAUUAGAUACCCUGGUAGUCCACACGGUAAACGAUGAAUACUCGCUGUUUGCGAUAUACUGCAAGCGGCCAAGCGAAAGCGUUAAGUAUUCCACCUGGGGAGUACGCCGGCAACGGUGAAACUCAAAGGAAUUGACGGGGGCCCGCACAAGCGGAGGAACAUGUGGUUUAAUUCGAUGAUACGCGAGGAACCUUACCCGGGCUUAAAUUGCAGAUGAAUUACGGUGAAAGCCGUAAGCCGCAAGGCAUCUGUGAAGGUGCUGCAUGGUUGUCGUCAGCUCGUGCCGUGAGGUGUCGGCUUAAGUGCCAUAACGAGCGCAACCCUUGUUGUCAGUUACUAACAGGUUCUGCUGAGGACUCUGACAAGACUGCCAUCGUAAGAUGUGAGGAAGGUGGGGAUGACGUCAAAUCAGCACGGCCCUUACGUCCGGGGCUACACACGUGUUACAAUGGGGGGUACAGAGGGCCGCUACCACGCGAGUGGAUGCCAAUCCCAAAAACCUCUCUCAGUUCGGACUGGAGUCUGCAACCCGACUCCACGAAGCUGGAUUCGCUAGUAAUCGCGCAUCAGCCACGGCGCGGUGAAUACGUUCCCGGGCCUUGUACACACCGCCCGUCAAGCCAUGGGAGCCGGGGGUACCUGAAGUGCGUAACCGCGAGGAGCGCCCUAGGGUAAAACUGGUGACUGG